AUAUAUAUAUAUAUAUAUAGGGGUCUCGAACCUUCUAUCUUUUUCCCCAAGAAACCCCCUAAAAUUCCAAAAAAAAUAAUAAUCCAAAAGCCUUCAAAAAUACGAAAAUUCUCCCAAAAAAACCAAAGCCCACUGAUUUUAUUUUGUGAGCGAUUUUGGGACAAAUGGAAGUCAAAUAUUGAUUCAUAAUAAAUCCACGGCCCCCAUUGAUCCAAAAAUCAUUCUCAAGGUCGCAUGAAGUGGGAAGAGAACAUUUUUGUUGUCAGAGAUCGUUGUAGAUUUGGGUGACAUGGGAGGAAUAUUGAGGGGGUGGGGUGGGGGGACCAUGAGCAUGUGAGCAGGAUUUUCCGGCGAGGCUGGGGUGGGGGAACAUUGACAGAAGGUGGAGAGAGAGGGCACCAUUUGGUUAGAUCUUUUUAGGGUUUUGAGAGUCAUAAUACGGUAUUUAUAUGGGGUGUUGGAG
rnacentral:lncRNA from 1 species